GGAUGUAUAGCUCAGUGGUAGAGGACAUGCUUAGUACACAUAAGGUCCUGGGUUCAAUCCCCAGCUCUCCA
rnacentral:tRNA from 1 species